UCUUUAGUCUUCCUCUUCCCCAGUUCCACUUUCUCAAAUUCUGAUCUAAACUCCAAGCCUCCAACCUUUACCUACUGCGAUUGCUCUUGCUCUAGCAGGCCCAGGCGAUCGCUGUCAGCUGAGUCAGUCUCUCUCCUUCUCUCUCUUCUUCACCUCAACGACACCGACCAACCGCUGCUGCCUCCUCCUCCCGGGACACUGCUGCCUCAUCCUCCCGGGACGUUGCUACUUCAUUUCUUCAUCGACUCUCUAUUCUUCUUAUUACUAGGGGUUCAAUCGGUAAAGCUCAGCUUUUUACUUAUUGAGAAUCAGGGAAAUGGGAAUUUGAAGAGCCUAUACUCUGUUGGAAGAUUCUCACCUACCACUUUAUUGCUUGAGCAUGAAUAUGGUUUCUUGUCCACAACUGAGUCUUUGUUUCUUCAGCUAUGUGUUUUGGAAAUCUUUGGAUGCAGGACAAUAAGUGCAUAUAUAAUAUUGAACAAAACCUUGACCACAGCAAACCCAAAGAGAUGACCAUUGUUUAAGGCAAUGAACAUAAGAUCAAGUUAGCUGCAAGUUCAUCCAUCAGUUAAUGUUGAAACAUCUCGACAGGUAAGCCGUCAGCGAUCUUACCACGAAAUAUAGCAUCAUCACGAGAUACAUCUACCCAUUACUUUGGGGAUUCCAGGUACUCUGAUCAUCUUCCGGUCUGCUUUAAAACAUGUCUCUUGCAUUUGAUUAUUGUUACCUUAACAUAAUCGAUAGCCACAUCUCAUGUAGCUAUCUUGCAUCUAAAGAAAGAAUGGUUCCGUCAUUUUACCCUCCAUUAAUUCUCGAUACUCGAUUCUUAGAAUGACUUUUUACUCCGUGGGUUGGCAUUUUCGGUUUGAUUUAUUGAUUAUUAAUGAGACAUUUUUGUUUUUAUUUAGUGAGACAAAAAAAUUUAUAGGUUCCAACAGGAUACCCGGAAUCUGUGGUAUAAUACAGGUUCUGGGUAAGUUCCGGUUCCAAAAUUCAACAGGGUAGGGUCUGGUUUCAAAAUUUUAGAACUGGUUCCUUACAGGACAAGGUCCGAGUAUCGUAAAAAAUACAAGGUAUUCGGAACCGAUCACUCCUAGUCUAGUGUUUGAAACCCCUAAAACCCAAAUCUGUCCUCCAUUCUCACUGUCAGUACUUCUCCUUCGCAUCGAAGGAAUCAGUCCGCCCCCCUCUCUCCGAUUUGACCCUCAUCCCCAACCACACCCUUCGUCGUGCAUCGAGCGCAUCCCCACCGCUGAGCAGCCCGCCUCUGCUUCAUUGCCUCCGACAAGAACCGCUCCCUCAUCACCUCCCUCGGCGCCCGCCACGCCUUCCUCUCCAUCCUCUUCUCCCUCGACCACCCCGACCUCGCCCUCGAGUCCCUUGCCGUCCUCUCCCUCUUCCAGCUCACCGACUGCACGGCCAUCGCCUCCAACCCCGACAAGGUCUCCUUCCUCGCCCGCCUCACUUGCCCUUUCCACAGCAGCGGCCUUUCUUCCCGGCACCGCCGCUGCUUGCUGCUCGCCGUGAGGGUUUCUUCUUCAUCGACUGGUCAGCGGCCUCCAAUCCGUGGCUUUCCUUCGAAGCUCCAGCCCGUGGCCCUCCUUCGAAGCUCCAAUCCGUGGCCCUCAUCCCCGGCACGGCCAAUGUCGAAGCUCCAGUCUCUUCCACGGCGGUGGCCUUUGAAGGUGAAGUUCCACUCGCCGAAUCAGGAGAACAAGGACAUGCCUGAGGCCGAGCCUGCAUCUCCGCCCCCACAGCCGGAGAAGAAGCCUGAGCCUCAGGCUUCGCCUGAACCGGAGCCGGAGCCCAUGGAAAUAUCAGAAUAGGAGAAAGAAGCAACGGAGAGGAAGGCUCGGGCUCUGAAGGAGAAAGAAGCGGGUAAUGCAGCUUACAAGAAGAAGGAUUUCGAGACUGCUAUUCAGCACUACACGAAGGCCAUUGAGCUCGGCGAUGAGGACAUCUCAUUCUUGACAAGCAGAGCUGCUGUGUAUUUGGAGAUCGGAAGCUAUGAGGAGUGUAUUAAGAUUGUGACAAGGCUGUUGAAUGGGGAAGAGAGCUUAGAUCGGACUUCAAGAUGAUAGCAAGAGCUUUGACCAGGAAGGGAUCUAUCCUGGUGAAAAUGGCAAAGAAAGAACUGGAGCAGCAAGAGUAUUUUGACCCCAAAAUAGCUGAUGAGGGCGUGAGGAAGCUAAUGAAUGCUUCAAGCAGCAAAAGUAUCCUGAAGCUGUCAAGCAUUACACAGAAUCCCUGAAAAGGAGUCCAAAAGAUCCAAAGGCUUACGAGACAGCAUGCUUCAUUAACCUUGGUGCCCUUGCUUGAGGGAUUGAAGGAUGCAGAGAAGUGAAUUGAGCUUGAACCCACCUUCUCCAAGGGAUAUACAAGAAAAGGUGCCAUUCAAUUUGUCAUGAAGGAGUAUUACAAGCCUCUGGAGACAUACCAAUAAGGCCUGAAACAUGACCCCAACGUCCAGGAAUUGCUAGAUGGUGUAAGAAGAUGUGUAGAACAAAUAAACAAGGCUAAUCAUAGGGAUUUGACCCCAGAAGAAUUGAAGGAGAGACAGACUUGAGAGCAUGCAUAAGAGGUUGAGGAUUCAUGAUAGAAGCUCCCCGCCAAUCGAUCACAUUGCCCCUUACGAGGGUAAGGGCAAGCAUGUGAGAGGUUCCCAAGAGGACAAUGAAGACUCCUCUUCCUCCUCCUCCGCCUCCGCCUCCGCCUCUUCCGACGACAAUUAUAGCUUGGGUUGUGUGUGUUGGUUCGGAUUGCAUUUUGGAUGUUUAUGGCUUGGGAUGUGUUAGUCUAAUCCUUUGUAGUGUGGAUUGUAUCUUGGAUAUUAAUAUUAAUGUAUGCACUGAUUUUUUUUUAAUAAUUUUUGAGCAAUUUUUAAUUUUA